AAGUGCUUGGCUUUGACAAUGCUCUUAACAGGAAUGCACUGCAGGCUCCCGCCAAGUGGGCGUGGCCCCGGCCCGGGGUCGGAAGCCAAGUUUGGUCGGUUCAGUUUUUUAAGGGGGCGGAGGGGAUUGUUGAGAAACAGAGAAGGAGGAGAGGAUGUGGACUGGAGCAACACUCUUGGGCUGCCUGCUGCAUGACACGGCAGUUUCAGAGGUGGAGGACGAUGGGAGCGAAUAAAGAGGAAAGACACCUGAACGCGUCCAUCCUUCUAUCAAUUUUCUACCGCAUGUCCCUUUCGGGGUGGCGGAGGGUGCUGGAGCCUAUCUCAGCUGCACAUGGGCGGAAGGCGGAGUACACCCUGGACAAAUUGGACGGGGCCAACACAGAUAGACAAACAACAUUCCCACUCACAGUCAACCAGUAGGAUUAACUGAACUCAGUGAGCCCUCUUCUCAGGCCCCGUUUACACUAAAGUUAUCCUGGGUAAAUCCCACCUAACCUUAUCCCUUAUCACACAACAAUGCCACUGUUUAAGACCCCCUCGCCCCUCUUUUGGCCGGAGCAACACGGCCUGGUACGUGUAACAGAG